AAUUAAUGAACUUGUAAAAGUGUAUAUUUUGAAAAUAUAAAAAAGAGAUUUAAAUUCUCUAUUAAUUU
rnacentral:tRNA from 1 species